CGGAAUAGCUCAGUUGGUAGAGCAGAGGACUGAA
rnacentral:tRNA from 1 species